GACAGAGGGUGCUAGCGUUGUUCGGAAUCACUGGGCGUAAAGGGUGCGUAGGCGGGCGCUUAAGUCAGGGGUGAAAUCCCGAGGCUCAACCUCGGAACUGCCUUUGAUACUGGGUGUCUUGAGUCCGGAAGAGGUGAGUGGAACUGCGAGUGUAGAGGUGAAAUUCGUAGAUAUUCGCAAGAACACCGGUGGCGAAGGCGGCUCACUGGUCCGGAACUGACGCUGAGGCACGACAGCGUGGGGAGCAAACAGG
rnacentral:rRNA from 1 species